GUCUGGGGUGCUUUUAACUAAGCUGAGACAAACCCAUGGAACCUGAUGCAGUUAGUACUGCCGAAGGGAGACC
rnacentral:ncRNA from 1 species